CAAAGGUUUGGUCCUAGCCUUACUAUUAAUUUUAACUACACUUACACAUGCAAGUAUCAGCACACCCGUGAAAAUGCCCUCUACAACCAACAAGUACAUGAGGAGCGGAUAUCAGGCACCCCUCCUGCCAAAGACAUCUUGCUAAGCCACGCCCCCAAGGGAACUCAGCAGUGAUAAAUAUUGAAAAAUAAGCGAAACCAAGCUUGAACCAGUGAUAGUAAACAGGGUCGGUAAAUCUCGUGCCAGCCGCCGCGGUUAUACGAGAGACUCAAAUUAAUAAAAUCGGCCCAAAGGGUGGUUAAAGAUUAUAAUAAAUAGAACUAAAAACUAACUCUGCUGUCGCACGCAAUAGUUAAAAACAAACACAACAUCGAAAGAAAUUCUACAAAAUAAACUUGAACCCACGACAGUUAGGACACAAACUGGGAUUAGAUACCCCACUAUGCCCAACCAUAAACUUUGACCUAUCCGCCAGAAUACUACGAGCAACAGCUUAAAACUCAAAGGACUUGGCGGUGCUCUACACCCACCUAGAGGAGCCUGUUCUAUAAUCGAUAAUCCCCGAUAAACCUCACCAUCUAUUGCCAGUACAGCCUAUAUACCACCGUCCAGCCAGCCCUCUAAGGGACAAACAGCCGGCAUAACUAUAAACAUAAAAACGUCAGGUCAAGGUGUAGCACAUAAGAUGGGAAGAAAUGGGCUACAUUUUCUAACCUAGAAAAAACGGAAGAGUUUGUGAAACAAAACUCCAAAGGAGGAUUUAGCAGUAAAAAGAAAAAAGAGCGUUCUUUUUAACCCGGCAAUGGAGCGCGCACACACCGCCCGUCACCCCCUUCAAACAGCAUAAAAAAUACAUAAACCUAAAAAUAAAAAAGAAGGGGCAAGUCGUAACAUGGUAAGUCUACCGGAAGGUGAACUUGGA
rnacentral:ncRNA from 1 species